GAUGAACGCUGGCGGCGUGCCUAAUACAUGCAAGUCGAGCGAACGGACGAGAAGCUUGCUUCUCUGAUGUUAGCGGCGGACGGGUGAGUAACACGUGGAUAACCUACCUAUAAGACUGGGAUAACUUCGGGAAACCGUAGCUAAUACCGGAUAAUAUUUUGAACCGCAUGGUUCAAAAGUGAAAGACGGUCUUGCUGUCACUUAUAGAUGGAUCCGCGCUGCAUUAGCUAGUUGGUAAGGUAACGGCUUACCAAGGCAACGAUGCAUAGCCGACCUGAGAGGGUGAUCGGCCACACUGGAACUGAGACACGGUCCAGACUCCUACGGGGGGCAGCAGUGGGAAAUCUUCCGCAAUGGGCGAAGCCUGACGGAGCAACGCCGCGUGAGUGAUGAAGGUCUUCGGAUCGUAAAACUCUGUUAUUAGGGAAGAACAUAUGUGUAAGUAACUGUGCACAUCUUGACGGUACCUAAUCAGAAAGCCACGGCUAACUACGUG
rnacentral:rRNA from 1 species